CUGAUCUGUGCUACCCAGCUUAUGUUACACUAAGAUGUAUCCACUCUAGGAUACAGGCCAGUGUAAACACCCCACUGGAUCAUGCCCUUUCAGGGUAUAAACUGGAGCAACACCUAGUCCCUGACUGGGCUUAGGUAGGAUCUAGGCAACAAGCUGCUUAUGUUGGGGCUACUGUGAGUUUGUACAAAAGCAGAACUUUUGGCACCUAGAGAACUUUGACACUUUACAGCAAAGUAGGGAGGUGCCUAGUGAGUUCAAGCACCCUAGUAGAAGGCUGUCACUUAGUGAGGCCUUUUUUUUUUCCAAUAUAGGCACCUCUUAUAUGCUUUAUUUGGGUAUAGCUUUGAGCCUGGAAUGGCUUUUCCAAACUGCAGUAAACAUCAAACGCUGAAACAAACUCCUCAGGUUAAAAUAAAUCUCAGUCUGGGUAAAUUGCUUAUAGCUUACAGUGAAUCUCACAAGUUAAAUGAGUGCCUCAGAACUGGAGCAAAAUUCUGACUAAACUAUACUGACAGAUUAAAGACCAGCUGUGUCUAAUAGGUUCUGAUUCUAAUCAGUUAUCCCCCCACCUGAACCCAAACAGAGUCUUCAUUUAGAGCUGGUCCUUUCCAGCUCUAAAUGAAAAUUUCUCUAGUGCUCUCUGACAAGAUCUGAAAGUAUCAGCAAACUUUUCUCUUCCUUCUUGGACCUGGGUGCUAACCUUAAGUGAUCACUGAUUUUCAAGAGAGUUGACCUGAGAGGGAAGAUUCAAUUCCUGUUGAAAAGAUCAUAAGGGGGAAGAGGAAAACAAAUGAAAAAAGAAAAGCAAAAUAAAGUACAAGAAAUACUACCAGAAAAUUUAUUAGAUAAUAUGCUGUGUCCUCCAGGAAGAUUUGGAUAGAUAUAACCCAAAGCUCUCUACCACUCUACAACUAUAAAGAUGCAGACAUUAACAAAAAACAUGAAUGCCACUCAUAAAUAAACAGUGUUUAACAAUCCAAGAACUUUUCCCUUUUUGUUAUUCUUUUUCCUGUUCAACUUGGAUUAUUCCAUAAAUUCACCCUCUCCAGAUGGUAGCAAUGUAAGAAAUGUUUCUCCUUCCUUAGGG